GCAUAAAACCACGUGUUUACAUUGUUAGCUAUACAUGUUGACAAUAUUCCUUGUGCAGGGUGUCGUAAUAUUACAGAUAUACGGUUGCACACGCGACGUCACUCGUUGCCCGGACAACACAUACUUGGAUGCACGUGCAAUUUGAUUGUUUUGUUUCAAUAUAUGGAGGGAACAGCAGACGACAGUUUCCAAUUGUGUUCAGAGUUACUCCAGGUCGUUAAGGUUGCAGGUCGGUGAAGACUGCCGGUGUAUCUGGGCCUAGUGUGGGGUGUACGUGAGUACUGGACGGGGUAUGGCAGACGAGUGGCAACCUGUUUGUCAAGAUCCGUCUUGUUCACCCUCAGACGAGAUCGAGGCCCUCCGCCUGGUCCCCGGGAUCUGGAUGCUCAUCGCGUGUCUGUCUGUGUGUCUGCUGCUGAUGCUGCUUGUCCUCGCGUUCUUCAGGGGCGUGUGUUUAAACACUGAACUGAAGACCUGUCCAAGCAGACGACACAAACAGUAUAUAGAGGACAAGGCGUUUACAAUCAAUGACGCGGAUUUUGUGUGAAAGAAUUUCAAACAGAUGUUUUUUACGACACAACAGAUUGGAAUAUAACGAUAUAUGACCGACUGUCACUAUGGGCAUUCUGUCCCCGGGCAGUGUUGAUACGUGUUAAGGAGUUAGACGACUUAUUAAAAGUAUUUUUGAAAUUUAAGCAGGGGGUUGAAGUUUUCAAACGUCCCAUGAGUUUACAACCUCGCGUGGAGAUGAAGGUGGCGCCUGCAUCAUGUGUUCGACACUUGGAAACAUCCAGACCAGUAUACUCUCCACCGGGCACAUCUGAUAUUGACGAUGUUGAAACUUCUAAUCUGGUACAUGGUGAACGGAGGCUCAGAGAAACUCAGGUGGAAUAUCUCAAAUCAGGGUGGGUGACACAGCUCUGACAUGGCGGCAGAUUUCAGAGACGAGCUGUGUGACUAUUUUACAACUGAUGGACAGGUCUCGCGUCUCAGUGGGAUAUAUAGUGUGAAUAAAUCAGUGUUACAUACAUGUACAUGGCAAUCACCAUCCACUUCGACUGGUACCUGGUCAAUCCUGCCCAACUGGACUUGUUGACCGUAUGCAGAUCUUUUAUCUGAGACUGCUCAACUUCUUAGAGAGCUGAUCUGCUGUAUCCAGAUCCCAAACCAUAUUGUGUUCCCUUUUGCCAAGCCCUUACUGCAAUGCUACAACUGUAAUUGAAGCAGUCUAGAUUUCCACAGGUUCUGAAUCUCCCAUCCCACUGGGGCCCCUUUUCAAUUUAAAUGUAGUUGCUUGGCUCUAUAAACGAUAUUUUUUGUGUC